rnacentral:tRNA from 1 species
UAGCUGAAUGGUAAAGCGCUUGGCUUAAAAACCUAGGGGUCCCGGGUUCAAAUCCAGG